rnacentral:rRNA from 1 species
GGCCUAACACAUGCAAGUCGAGCGGCCGUAGCAAUACGGCAGCGGCAGACGGGAGAGUAACACGUGGGAACGUGCCCAUCAGUUCGGAACAACCCAGGGAAACUUGGGCUAAUACCGGAUACGCCCUUACGGGGAAAGAUUUAUCGCUGAUGGAGCGGCCCGCGUCUGAUUAGCUAGUUGGUGAGGUAACGGCUCACCAAGGCGACGAUCAGUAGCUGGUCUGAGAGGAUGAUCAGCCUCAUUGGGACUGAGACACGGCCCAAACUCCUACGGGAGGCAGCAGUGGGGAAUAUUGGACAAUGGGCGCAAGCCUGAUCCAGCCAUGCCGCGUGGGUGAUGAAGGCCCUAGGGUUGUAAAGCCCUUUCGGCGGGGAAGAUAAUGACGGUACCCGCAGAAGAAGCCCCGGCUAACUUCGUGCCAGCAGCCGCGGUAAUACGAAGGGGGCUAGC